rnacentral:rRNA from 1 species
UUGAACGCUGGCGGCAUGCCUUACACAUGCAAGUCGAACGGUAACGCGGGGCAACCUGGCGACGAGUGGCGAACGGGUGAGUAAUACAUCGGAACGUGCCCAGUAGUGGGGGAUAGCCCGGCGAAAGCCGGAUUAAUACCGCAUACGACCUACGGGUGAAAGCGGGGGAUCGCAAGACCUCGCGCUAUUGGAGCGGCCGAUGUCAGAUUAGCUAGUUGGUGGGGUAAAAGCCUACCAAGGCGACGAUCUGUAGCUGGUCUGAGAGGACGACCAGCCACACUGGGACUGAGACACGGCCCAGACUCCUACGGGAGGCAGCAGUGGGGAAUUUUGGACAAUGGGGGCAACCCUGAUCCAGCCAUGCCGCGUGCGGGAAGAAGGCCUUCGGGUUGUAAACCGCUUUUGUCAGGGAAGAAACGGUCUGCGCUAAUACCGCGGACUAAUGACGGUACCUGAAGAAUAAGCACCGGCUAACUACGU